GAUCCGGCUGCGGUGCCAGAAGGGGAUCCCGCCUUCACUGCGGGGCCGUGCCUGGCAGUACCUCUCCGGGAGCAAGGUCAAGCUGGAGCAGAACAUCGGCAAGUUUGACGAGCUGGAUCUCCUCCCCGGAGACCCAAAGUGGCUGGAUGUGAUCGAGCGGGAUCUCCAUCGGCAGGUAUGUUCGUCUCGCGUGGAGGCCACGGGCAGCAGGACCUGUUUCGGGUGCUGAAGGCGUACACCCUGUACCGCCCGGAGGAGGGCUACUGCCAGGCCCAGGCGCCUAUUGCUGCCGUCCUGCUCAUGCACAUGCCGGCCGAGCAAGCGUUCUGGUGCCUGGUGCAGAUCUGCGAGAAGUACCUCCCCGGCUACUACAGCGAGAAGCUGG